rnacentral:rRNA from 1 species
CCCCGGUAAACGGCGGCCGUAACUAUAACGGUCCUAAGGUAGCGAAAUUCCUUGUCGGGUAAGUUCCGACCUGCACGAAUGGCGUAAUGAUGGCCAGGCUGUCUCCACCCGAGACUCAGUGAAAUUGAACUCGCUGUGAAGAUGCAGUGUACCCGCGGCAAGACGGAAAGACCCCGUGAACCUUUACUAUAGCUUGACACUGAACAUUGAGCCUUGAUGUGUAGGAUAGGUGGGAGGCUUUGAAGUGUGGACGCCAGUCUGCAUGGAGCCGACCUUGAAAUACCACCCUUUAAUGUUUGAUGUUCUAACGUGGACCCGUAAUCCGGGUUGCGGACAGUGUCUGGUGGGUAGUUUGACUGGGGCGGUCUCCUCCUAAAGAGUAACGGAGGAGCACGAAGGUUGGCUAAUCCUGGUCGGACAUCAGGAGGUUAGUGCAAUGGCAUAAGCCAGCUUGACUGCGAGCGUGACGGCGCGAGCAGGUGCGAAAGCAGGUCAUAGUGAUCCGGUGGUUCUGAAUGGAAGGGCCAUCGCUCAACGGAUAAAAGGUACUCCGGGGAUAACAGGCUGAUACCGCCCAAGAGUUCAUAUCGACGGCGGUGUUUGGCACCUCGAUGUCGGCUCAUCACAUCCUGGGGCUGAAGUAGGUCCCAAGGGUAUGGCUGUUCGCCAUUUAAAGUGGUACGCGAGCUGGGUUUAGAACGUCGUGAGACAGUUCGGUCCCUAUCUGCCGUGGGCGCUGGAGAACUGAGGGGGGCUGCUCCUAGUACGAGAGGACCGGAGUGGACGCAUCACUGGUGUUCGGGUUGUCAU